AUACGGAGGAUGCGAGCGCUAUCCGGAUUUAUUGGGUUUAAAGGGAGCGUAGGUGGGAUAUUAAGUCAGCUGUGAAAGUUUGGGGCUCAACCUUAAAAUUGCAGUUGAUACUGGUUUCCUUGAGUACGGUAUAGGUGGGCGGAAUUCGUGGUGUAGCGGUGAAAUGCUUAGAUAUCACGAAGAACUCCGAUCGCGAAGGCAGCUCACCGGGCAGGAACUGACACUGAUGCUCGAAAGUGCGGGUAUCAAACAGGAUUAGAUACCCUGGUAGUCCGCACAGUAAACGAUGAAUACUCGCUGUUUGCGAUACACUGUAAGCGGCCAAGCGAAAGCGUUAAGUAUUCCACCUGGGGAGUACGCCGGCAACGGUGAAACUCAAAUGAAUUGACGGGG
rnacentral:rRNA from 1 species